rnacentral:misc_RNA from 1 species
AUGAAAUGCAAGGACGUUCUUUUUAGAAGUCCGACCCAAUUCAUCCUUUCACCCUGUGCACAUAACAUUUUUAACACCCAUUUUAAAACACGUAAAGUUAUAUGAAUGUCAUAAAGUCUCUUAAUUGAGCAUAAAAGUUAAUA